GAGGCUAACAGGGAAUGCCGUGCCGCUCCCUCCACGGGAGCCAAUCGGCAGCUGUACCCGCAGCUGUAAGCGGCGAGCGAGAGCCCAAAUGUCACUGGACUUCGGUCCGGGAAGACGGGCAGGAGCUGCGACCCGCGAGCCAGAAGACCUGCCGGCGAUAGCGUCGCUCU
rnacentral:ncRNA from 1 species